UUUUUUUUUAAAUUUGAACUCCAUACAAAGUCUUAAUCCGGGCGUCCACAAGUAUAAGAAAAGUAUUUUUUACUCAGACAUGAUGGCCAGACAGACUUGAAUGCUAAUUGGUGUUAAGAUGUCUGUAGUUAAAAUAAAGUUGUUGAUUUUUUAUGGGCCCAAUAAACUGGUAGAUCAAAGGCCUAUUGAGCGCUCAUGCCCGGUGUGAUUUUAACAAUUGACUCCAAAUGCAUUGACAAGAAAAUAAGUAAAACUAUUAUUUAAUGUGAUUGGUUGAUAAAAUCAACGUACUAUAGGCUACAGUUUGUCUGCGAUAUCAUCUCGAUGCAACCGGACAUUAAAUGAAUUGAUUUCACACAAUUCAUUUACCAUUUAACAACGUGCUGAAAUGAUUUUGGAGCAGUGAUAUGUUUGACAAAUGUAAGCUAAUGGUCACAGAGAAUAAAAGACCGCAGGUUUGUGAAUAUUUAUAUAAAAAAAAAUAAUACCAUUUAUUUUAUGAUCAGUAGUGGAAUACCGCGUUUUAUCAGUGAAAUAAAAGUGUUAUUCCACUGGCUAGUUGUUUUUACCUAAAAUGAUUGUAAAAUCAUAAAAUAAAUAGAACAUUACGCAUUCGUGAAAAUAUAAGUUUUCUUGCUUCUCGAUGAAAUAAAAUAUGUUAUUCACUCUAAAACGACAAAUAUCCUCUAUGUAUGUAAUUUAGCAUCGAUAUUGUUUUUGUGUAUAAUAUUAGUAUUUCGUUUCCUUAAAAAAAACUCCAACAAUUUAACCCGGAAGUUCAUGUUUAAAAUGGCGGGCGGUGACAGGGAAAAAAUUUCGGCAUGUUAUUAUCAAAUCUGUUCAAUUUUUCUGAAAUCGUGCUUAAUUAACAUUAGUUGUUCGGCGCUACGAUGUUGUUCAAAUACGUACAUUACAGAAUUACAUUAUGAUUAAACCAGAAACGGCUCGACUUGAACCAGCAGGUAAGAAUCUGUUUUGAAAUUAUAUCUUGGGAGGUUGGAUUGGAUUGGCGGUCAUUUUGAUUCUUGUUUCAUGAUUUUUUAUAUUAUAAAGAUUUUGCCAAGAGUAGACAUAAACGCGGGCACAGACUAGAAAAAAUCUUUUUACACUUUUGUGUUAGUUGAAUUGUAAUCUAAUUUAUGUUUAAAAAAACAACCUUAAAUCAAAUAAGCAGAUAUUUUCUCCGUUCAACCUCUGACUCUGUCACUCUGUGGAAUAUAUUAGGCCCCUAUUUUCCUGAUUCAGUCACAGUUAAUAAAUAAUAAAUAAUGGAACUAGAAUCAGUCUGUGGAAGUUUCUCUAUAGUUUCAUUAUUUUUUCCAGUCAGUGAUGAUAUGACUCAUUCCACCUUACAGUUACAGCAAUUACCGUAAUGAGAAUUUACCGUUCAAGGACUCCAUUUUGGCAUUGAAUUGGAAUUUGAAGAAAAACUGUUUCAAUAUUGGAUGUAUAUGCAAAUCACCCAGGAAAAGAUCAUGUAACAAAAGAAAUUAUAAAAGUAAAAAAAUGGAAGAAGAAAUGGCUGGAAAAAAUGAUGAUAGAGCAGCUUUUUCUUGUUAGCCACUUCGGAAGAUCAAGACAGCUGGAAAGGGCUAUUGAUAUUGUGGAAGUGUUUUCUUACAGAGGUUGCUUAUCAGACAAAGGCUAUUUAACUACAUCAGAAAGAUAAAAACAGUUGGAAAUGGCUAUUCAUAUUGUGGAAACUUUUCUCACAGAGCUUGAUAAUCAGGCAAAAUGCUGGAACACCCUUGAAAGAGUAUUUGAUGUAUGAUAACAACAAGAGAACCCAAGCAUCAAUUUAUUUUAUACUUCUGGGAAAGAAUGCAUUUGACCCAAUUUUUAAAUAUUUAUUUUUUGUUAUUAAUGUUAAAUUUUCUUCCAAAACACAAUUAGAUUUUAAUUCUCUUCAAAUAUGUAUGUAUAAUAUAGCAAGUAAACUGACAUAUAAAUCACUUAGAAUUUGGUCGGAAAUCAUAAAGUAUUUAAUAGGUAUUACUAGAAACCAAAUGUAGAUCAAAUACACCCAGAAUUACAAAAAACCUUGACCUACAUUAAGGUGACUUUCCCGUGCUUAUGAAAUGAAAUACGUUUUAAUAUCCUGCUUUUCUGUGUUCUUAGAGUGAUUCUACCCUACCCGUAUAUCAAAUAUUUCAACUGUCAAGGGUUCUUUAAAGGGUACCCAGGGGGGCCGAAUGGUUAACACGCACACAUUUGAUCAGAAGGUCUGUCAUUGAUUCAAAUAAUUCAAUUUUCAAGGGUUCUUCAAAGUGUACGCAGUUGGGUUGGUUUCGAUUCUGGGGGGUGGAUGGCCGAAUGGUUAGCACGUGCAUGCUGUAUCAUACGGCCUCCUGUCAUUGAGUCAACUGGCAUGGUUUCGAAUCCCCGGUUGUAGACAAGGAGUAGGGUCGUCUGUCCAAUCUUGUGGGUUUUCUCCGGGACCUCCGGUUUCCUCCCACUGCUAAAGACCCCUACGCGCUAGCGAAUUAUUGAAAUAAAAUUAAACCAUAUGUUAGUCCCAAAAUGACCUGUCUCUCUCUCUCUUUUGAUUCUGGGCUUGUACCCAAUUAUCCCUUGCCAUAUCCAACACUGAAAAGUGGGAACUAUGCCGGAAAAUCCAGUUGAAAUUUCUCGGCCAACGCCUUAUGCUCACUGAACCACUGUGGCUUAUGACUUGUGAUUGUAUAUAAAUCUUUUGUACAUAUGAUAUUUUUUAUUUCAAUCCUGUAAUCUUGAUGCUUUGCUUCUUUUAUUUAUAAAAUAUUCAUUUUGUUUGGGUUUUUUUUAAUGAGGAAAAGGCUCUACAUCAUUUUAUUACUCCUGCAAAAUAGAGCAAUUUUCUUUUGUUAGUUUUCUGUGUAUGCUAGUUAUUUCUAUAUGUCUCACAAAUCACUUGUAGUGUGAUUUUGUAGCAUUUUUCAGUUUUUGAAAUUGUUUCAAUUUAGUGCAUAAUUAAUCUUAUUAGUGCUUAGUUUGGAUGUUAUUAAAUUUAGAUAUAUUUGAAUUAUAUAUUUUGGGGUAUGGGGUAGGGAUACUGUGUACAUAUCUUUAUAUUCUCAGUUCUUGUUUUGGGGUAAAGAACAAUUUAAAUAGCUAUUUUAUAUUUUGUGAUGGGUAAAGUGUGUGGGGCAAAAAACAUCAAUUUAA